GCGCGGAUAGUCUAGUGGUUAUGAUGUCUGCUUUACAUUUAUCCUAAUGUAUUACGCAGAAGGUCGAGAGUAAGUUUUUAAAAGCCACUACUAGUUAUACACUUGCUAAUGAUGAUCGAGGUUCGAGCCUCUCUCUGCGCA